UUAAAAGCCUUGGAAAUUAAAGCCUGCCAUAUAACCACAGAAGAUCUCAACCAUCUCUUGGAGGGACCAGCUCUGCGGGUUGGAGGGAAGUUCAGUGUCCCUGGCCCCAUUCAUUCCUUGGCCUCU
ensembl:misc_RNA